rnacentral:lncRNA from 1 species
AUCAGCUAAGGCCUUCAAUUAAGUCUUGGGUGAAUAUCCCUAUUGCAUUUUCUUGAACAGCCCAACAAGAGCUGGCCUUCACACCUGGGCUGCAUCUGAGAGGCAGCAGCACUGAGAUGGAGUUGGCCCUUGGAGAGGAAAUAUUAGUUCUGGACAAAGGCGCUGCUUUAUUUUCCCAGUGUGCCAAAAUUAGAGAACCCCCUGGUGCUAAAUAAUUUUGUUCUGCCUCGCUGUGAAAAUUCCCAGUGUUCAAUAGCCCUCCACAAGCUCUCAUUUUAUCCCCAUAGUGCAGUGCUCCUGUGGUUAUAUGUCAGCUGCUGCAGUGGUAAACAUGUACACACUACUCAUUUAAGAGCUUUUAAAAGACUUCUCACUGUGCCCAGAAAUUACACCUGUGCUUUCUUACUUACCCAUGCUGUUGUCUUUGUUUCUCAGGCUAUAUUAAGCCUUCCAUUCUUCCCCCUUUGAAAGAGCGGGAGAGUAUAAACAUCUUUAAGUUCUGGCUUUCUAUCAGGUUGUGCAGAGGGACAGAGACAGUAAAUCUGGACAGAAGGAAAGGCAGAGGGCUGCGUGCGGUAGGGCUGGCAGAUGCUGCCUGCUCCUCCUGAAGGCGCAGAACACACACAGGAGCUCCAUGGUGUUGACUGAAAUCCCUGUCAGCUGCAGUGCUCAACUUCCUCGGGAUGGUGACCUGUGCUAUUCUGACUGUGUCUUCUGUAUCCACGGAUGAUGAAGAGAGACAGAGCACACGGCGCUCGGAGGAGCUGCAUCCGCAGAGGGGAAGUGAGAAGCCUUUCCCAAGAUGACUCCAAACGUGGAGAGGACAGCAGAGUGCUGUACUGGAGAGGACAGGGGGGCUGUACUGGAGAGGUAAGUGCUCGAGCCAAUACCUGUUCUCUGGGGAAGUUAAUGCAGCAUCCUCCCUCCAUCCUCUCCCCAAAGCUUUGGUUUCUCUAAAACAUCAAGAGAUAUUUUUGGUGUUGUUUUCAAUUUUGAUGUGACUGCUGACCUAUAAAAGAGAAGGACCAACUAUGACUGUAAAUCCAUGACCGUUUUUUGUUAGCUUCAGCCUGAUUCAGAUAUCACACCAUGAGGUGUAUAUCAGAACUGAGUUAUUAUAGAGGGAACAAAGAGGUUCCCUUAGGUCUAGAUUUUCCUGCUGCGUGCUGAAGUGCCAUCAGUGCUCCUUUCCAGGAGGGCAGGAAUUCUCCAGGGCAUUAACUGUUUUCUGCGUGAGUUGGAUGCAUUUGCCAAAACUUGUUUUGUUUCAACAUGCUGGUUCAUGAAAUCGAGUGCAGAAGGACAGUGCCUUUCCUCUCC